rnacentral:rRNA from 1 species
CCUACGGGAGGCAGCAGUAGGGAAUCUUCCGCAAUGGACGAAAGUCUGACGGAGCAACGCCGCGUGAACGAUGAAGGCCUUCGGGUCGUAAAGUUCUGUUGUUAGGGAAGAACAAGUGUUAGUUGAAUAAGCUGGCGCCUUGACGGUACCUAACCAGAAAGCCACGGCUAACUACGUGCCAGCAGCCGCGGUAAUACGUAGGUGGCAAGCGUUGUCCGGAAUUAUUGGGCGUAAAGCGCGCGCAGGCGGUUUCUUAAGUCUGAUGUGAAAGCCCCCGGCUCAACCGGGGAGGGUCAUUGGAAACUGGGAAACUUGAGUGCAGAAGAGGAAAGUGGAAUUCCAAGUGUAGCGGUGAAAUGCGUAGAGAUUUGGAGGAACACCAGUGGCGAAGGCGACUUUCUGGUCUGUAACUGACGCUGAGGCGCGAAAGCGUGGGGAGCAAACAGGAUUAGAUACCCUGGUAGUCCACGCUGUAAACGAUGAGUGCUAAGUGUUAGAGGGUUUCCGCCCUUUAGUGCUGAAGUUAACGCAUUAAGCACUCCGCCUGGGGANCGGUCGCAAGCUGAAACUUAANGAAUUGACGNNGAGAGNGCGAGACGACGACGAGGGAGAG